rnacentral:rRNA from 1 species
AUUGAACGCUGGCGGCAUGCCUUACACAUGCAAGUCGAACGGCAGCACGGACUUCGGUCUGGUGGCGAGUGGCGAACGGGUGAGUAAUGUAUCGGAACGUACCUUUCAGUGGGGGAUAACGUAGCGAAAGUUACGCUAAUACCGCAUAUUCUGUGAGCAGGAAAGCAGGGGAUCGCAAGACCUUGCGCCGAUUGAGCGGCCGAUAUCAGAUUAGCUAGUUGGUGAGGUAAAGGCUCACCAAGGCGACGAUCUGUAGCGGGUCUGAGAGGAUGAUCCGCCACACUGGAACUGAGACACGGUCCAGACUCCUACGGGAGGCAGCAGUGGGGAAUUUUGGACAAUGGGGGCAACCCUGAUCCAGCCAUGCCGCGUGAGUGAAGAAGGCC